rnacentral:rRNA from 1 species
AUUGAACGCUGGCGGCAGGCUUAACACAUGCAAGUCGAGCGGAGAUGAGGUGCUUGCACCUUAUCUUAGCGGCGGACGGGUGAGUAAUGCUUAGGAAUCUGCCAUUUAGUGGGGGACAACAUUCCGAAAGGAAUGCUAAUACCGCAUACGUCCUACGGGAGAAAGCAGGGGAUCUUCGGACCUUGCGCUAAAUGAUGAGCCUAAGUCGGAUUAGCUAGUUGGUGGGGUAAAGGCCUACCAAGGCGACGAUCUGUAGCGGGUCUGAGAGGAUGAUCCGCCACACUGGGACUGAGACACGGCCCAGACUCCUACGGGAGGCAGCAGUGGGGAAUAUUGGACAAUGGGGGGAACCCUGAGCCAGCCAUGCCGCGUGUGUGAAGAAGGCCUUAUGGUUGUAAAGCACUUUAAGCGAGGAGGAGGCUACUGAGACUAAUACUCUUGGAUAGUGGACGUUACUCGCAGAAUAAGCACCGGCUAACUCUGUG